AGAAGACGUAAAAUACUAUCUAGUGAUGUUUUGCUGGUGGCUAGCCAGUCACAUUACAGAAUGUCACUAGGUGUCCACAGACCUGCGUACCAUAGUGCCAAGAGGGAACCUGACAGCAGUAACAUAAUUUAGGCUGAAAGCCCAACACAUAAUCCCGUCAAGUUCAAAAUGUCACAAAUCCCUUGUCUGUCGCUUGUGCUG